rnacentral:lncRNA from 1 species
UGAAAAUUGAAUUUCUACAUGAUUUGUUCAGCAACUGGAGAUCAGAAAAGCACACUAUCAAACCUUUUGCCAAAAGAGACUGCAGCCAUGAUGAGGAAAUCAUCUUGUCACUCAACUCUCAUGCCUGACACUCAGAAUCUUUUACAUUCUCCUCCUGAUGGAAAUCUUGUUUCCUCUAAAGAAAUCUUGCAAGGAGAUGGGAGAUGGGUUACUGACACAAGUUUAAGUGAACAUGCUGAUGAGUCUGUAGUUGAGGCUGUCUUAGAAAGUCAAAUGAGUAGAUCUUCAAGUGGUCUCAAUACUUGUUACCAGAGGAGAAAUUCUACAUGCAGAUCAUACUCAGGAAAUGAUUCUAUCAGACCUCAAUCAAUGGAUGUGCUACAAUGUAAACUGACCAGAAAUAGUCCAAAAAACUCUCAUCCAAGACCAAAGAGUUCACCUAUGCAUACCUUUAGAGCUGAUACUGAGAUAUCAAAGCACAAGUAUGUGGAUGUAAUUAAGCAAGAUGAGCAUUGUUGGGAGUAUAUUGCUGACCAAGAAGCUUUACUCUGUUUGGAAAAAGAAUUAGAAACUUA